UAUUUUCUCAAAAACCGCAAAAAUAUCUUCGGCCAAAACCGUAAAAACGCUGCCGAAACGUAAAAAAAUUAUAUUUUAGUCAUUUUAUUAACAAGUCCACCUGGAUGCAGAUGAAAGUUAAAAAAUGAAAAGCAAACGAACAUAGUUGCAUUCAGAUGAUUCAUCUGGAUGCAUGAACGAAAUGAAGAAACAAACAACACCCAUAUAGAACAUUUGGAUAAGACAUCUAAAUGGACCAUCUGGAUGCAUCUUCCAGAUGUACAAACAAACCGGGCCUUAUUCGCUAAGCUAGUUACUUUAUUUAUCAUUAGUUAGUUUUAGUUUCCCAUGUGUUAUAAAAAAAAACAUUUUUAUUUAGUUAAAAUAUUUACACCCCCAUAUCUUAUAAUCAAUAUUUCAUAUUUAAUAUAUAAAUAUAUAUAUAUGUAUCUAUAAAAUAAAAUUUGUUUAUAUCUAUAUGUAUAUAUAUCAAGUUAUGUGUUUUUGGUAUGUGUGGAGAGUCUGAAGUUAUGUAUUAUGUAGUGUCUGAGUAACUUUGGUGGAUGUCGAAUGAUCUUGUAUACAAGCCUCAUAUUCACAAAAUAAUUCAUCCGUCCACAAUCGUGUUUGUGGAUGCGGCAAAAACCAAUAAACUGCAUAACAUAGUCAUGGAUGUGAGCACACAUUAUCGCAACAACUCGUUCCAACUUUUUAGAUCUACUCCAGAGGGGAUAAUCCAAAGCUAAGUUCCUCCCCCUCCACAGAUCUCGAUGGAAAUUAUUGCCACCAUUCACCAUCAAACUCUAAAUGCCAACCUCUCCAGAGAUUGCUCUACAUACGGCUCGCCGGAACACCAUAAGACCGUCGUCUUCUAACCUGCAACAUUUCCACCGCAGACGGAUCUAGUACAAGUCGCAUCCAACAACCGUCAGAGACACUGUGCAUACCGUCGGAGAGAGCGAAAUCCACUGGAGUAGAUACACAAACUCUGUUAAGGGAAGAAUGACUCUUUGCUUUAGUCAAGAGAGACUUCUAGAUUUUUUUUAAAAAAAAUUGAUAAUCUAGAACACCGACAUAAACACAUUUUUUAUUUCUUUAGUUUUUAGAUUUUUUGCAGGAAAAAAAAAAUAUUAUUGACAGUGAGAAGAAGAGAAGAUUUGUAAUGGAUGAGAUUGUUUUUAGUUAGGUAAAAUGGAAGGACUUGUUAGUCAAUACACCGUUAGAAAGUACACUACAUGUCUAAAGUAUGUGUAAACUUAAAGAAAGAGUAGAAAAGUAGGUCUAGGUGUAAUUUUUUCUUUCUCUCUAUUCUCUACUAAAUUUAUUUCCUACGAGAAAUUUAAUAUUUCUCCUUCAGAAAAAUCCAUAAAUUUAUCAGCUUGUUUUAUUCGUCUUUAGUUCGUUCUUUGACAGAAAAAAAAAGUAAAUGUUUUUUUUUUCUAUUUCAUUCGAUUUCGUUUGAAAUCUCAUAUUUUUGUUUGUUUCUUUUGUGGGUUUUGUGAAUUUUAAUCAGCGUUAUGUUUUCUUUUCGGACGUUGGCGUGGCGGAUCUCAUAUUAGAUCUUCAUUUUUAACUUAUAUUAUAGUGUCUACAACGAUGAUAUCAAGGUUCAAAAUUCAAUAUGAGGAAAGAUGGUGGCUUUGAAAUUUAUCUUAGUAGGUCUUUUCUAAUUUUGAGCUGGGAUUUUGUUGUAUGAGCUUUUCUCAGAGGUUGGGGACCUUAAAGCGUUAUGGGAUUCACAAUGAUAAGAGUGGAAGAUCCAUGGUACUCUAUAACUCAUCUUCUCGAAGCUUGAACUCCUCCAUGACUGCGCCAACACGGGACCACCAGACUUCCUCAUCGUUGCUCGAUGCCAUCUCGUCUAGUAAGCUUUGCAGAGUUGCCAGAACCGGGGCCAGGCCGCCUCAGUGUCCACAUGCUCAAGAGGUUGCAUUUGGGGUCGAGAGAGGUGAAUCAGUCACCACAUCUGAUCGAUUUGCAGCAUACAUGACUAAAGGAUCGAGAAUUGUAACUAAUAAUAACGAAUAUCGGGUAACUGAUAUAUACUACUUAACUUACAAGAAUAAUUUACAGAUUUGAGUCAAUACUGAUAAUCAACUACUUAUAGAAAAAUCCAACUAACAAUAAUGUCCGGAUAAUAAUUUUAGUUAGCCGACCACUAACAUAAAUAACCAACCAUUAAAUAAUUUUGAAGAACCUGCAUUAACCACUUGAAUAAUCUUCGGGUUUGAGUUUAUAGGGAUAACCAACUACUUAUCGGAAAACCCAACUAACAAUAAUGAUAUCCGGAUAAUUGAUAUACACUGCUUAACUUAAUGGAUACGAGAUUAAUCUACGAACACACUGAUUUUUUAUUCUAUCAUCUGUGCUGAAAUAUUAUGCUUUUCAUUGAUUACAAUAACGUUAAGUGUGUCGUUUAUGGAACACCACGUUUUCCAAGAUUUAUGGAAUUCGACAAAUGCAAACGUUGUACUCUGUGUUUUACAGUUUUGGCAAAUUAAUUGGAGAGUAGGUAAUGUAUUGUACUUAUUUUAAAUCAAAAGUGUUAGAGCUGAUUUUAUCUGAAUAUUUUGCUAAUAUUAUUUUGUCUCUCAUUGAUAAGGUCGACUGAAGAACGUUACUAAGAUUGAUGGUUUUUCUAAAAUUGUCUUUGAGCUCAAUUAUGUUCCAGAAAUCGAUGCUUUCUGAAUGAAGUAAUACCUUUCGUUUACUGAUUUUGUUAAAUAAUUGUGUUUAGUUUCGUAAGCUGAUAUCCUUUCUUAUUACUCUUAAUAUGACUACAAGCGAAGAGUUCUGAAUACACUUUUCACAGUAAUUGUGAUUUUUUUAGUUUUCUAUUUAGAGUAAUUGCGUCUCAUGACCAUAAAACAAAAUAAUAUUAGGCGAACGGAUACGACACUGUUACACUUUCAUAAUCCCAGCAUUGCCCUUACACUAGCUCCCAGGCGAGUCUGAUACACUGAGCUUCUGCAGAUACACAUGCUAUGAAUUUUAAUUAUUACUCUACUGAACCCUACUUCACGCCACCACUUGACAUCUAAAACUAAACAUAUAUUGAAUUUUGAAAUAAUUCUAUCUCAACUGUUUUCUCUCUCCCUGGAUAAAUUUAUUUUCUUAUCUUCUUCAAGAUCCUUAAACAAAAAAAAUGUUCUUCAAGAUCUAUUCGUAUUAUCCUCUACAAAUCAAGUUUUAGAUUCAACUCCCCAAACUACAUUCAUCUCCCUAUCAUCAGAUCCGCCAUGUUUCGUUUCUAAAAAGAAGAAACCAUAGACUCCGUCAAGUCCCAUCUCGAUAAUUGCCACCUCCUCACCGCCAUCAAAUACACAGCCUCACCGUCAAGCGGAUCAUGGGUCUAUCUCUUCCUCAGACCCUUGUGCUACUCGAUCUCCUCUCAUGUUUUUUCCUCAGGUUCUCUCUCCCAGAUUCACUUAUUUUAAAGACAGAUCUGAAAAAAGAUUUACAGUUUGUAUCUAUAUUUAUUGUAGGUGUGCUCUUUUCCGAUUUAUGAUGGGCAUGGUGGUUGUUUAGCUGCAGAGUUUGCUAAGAAGCAUCUUCACCUUAACGUUUUUCAGCUGGGUUAUCGUGUGAGUUGAAUUUCUAUAUGAUUGGGAAAGAUAAAAGGACCGAACCUUUUGAAGGGCUCUCAAGCUAGAUAUGACUCAUCAAAUAGAGCUCAACUUUUUUAUCAAGAUUGAACAGCUUACACAGAUGCCUCGAAAAUUAGAGAAGGACACACAAGGGAAAAACAUGAAAAUUGUGGUUUGGUGAUUGUGUAUGACAAUUGUUUCCGCUUAGCAUAUUUAAUAUCAUAUCCUAAUAACUAAGUGGAUGUGUCGUUGUUAUCCAGUUAUCAUUGAGUUUAUACUCCCAUUUCCCAGAUAUCGAGAUACUAUUGUUAAUAUCUGGUUUUAAUCCUUCUGAAAUUACUUAUAUAACCUGAUAAAUAGCCAGAUUUCAGAAACUAAAACAGGAUACAAAUUGUAUACAUGUUAUGUAUAAGUAAUAUCCGGUUAUAGUACACAUUAUCCAAAGGUGUAUGCAUGUUAUGUAUAUUAAAAUGUGUAUAGGAGAGUUUGCAAUAUACAUUUUAGAGUAAUUACGUCGAUACUAUUGAAAGCUCAAUAUUCCGAGACUAACCCAACUCCUAGGUCUGCAGGUAGAGCUGACACUUGCAUAUAUGUUCCCAUUUAUUGUGUAUCCGAAAUACUAUAAAAAUACUAGUUUUACUUGUAGGUAUCUGAAUUCAAAUCUCGACUAAUAACUUGACUUGGUGCCAUAAUGUAUUAUCCGGUUCAUUCCUAUUCACUUUACAAAUAUGGAAAACUAUUUUUUGGCUAUUACCAUUAUAAUCAGGAUUAUCGCUUUACUUAUAUAACCGCUAUAAUCCAGAUUACCGCUUAAAAACAUAGAGAACUAUUUUCUGGAUUUUAUCGUUAUAAUCCGGAUUAUUGCUGAAUUAUCUGUUUUUAUCUUUUUAAAUUAUCCGGUUUAUUUUUCAAAGAAUAAAAAAUCCAGUUUAUUGUUUCGAAUGAUCCGGUUAGUACUCCGCCAAAAAAAAAUCGUAAAUGUACAUGUAGUUACAUAUCUGGAUUCAUAUAAAAUGCCUUGUUAACAAUACUUUGAUCCGUACAUUCGCCGAGAGUCCCAGUAAUCUAAAAACCAUUUCUUUCAUUUUGAACGGUCUCUAUAUUUUGUUAUUAACUUACUAGAGAGUUACUAACAUUAACAAUAUGCACUGGCUUAGAUGGUAGGUGACUCUUUCCAUUUUCAAGAAACCAGGUUUCGAGCUCUGCCAUGUGCUUUUUAGUUUAGUUUUCAUUUUUCUUUUAAUAGAUGGCAGAAUGGUAAUUUCAGUACCAUCUUCUUCUCUUGCAACCUGCAACUUUUAUGGGUCAAAAAUGGCUAUCUCUUUUUUUUUCAGAUCUUUCACGCUUUUCAUCAUGUUUCUUUUCAUUUUGAUUUAGACUUUAUAGAUAUAAGUUAUAUUUGAAAUAAUUUGGAUUUUAGUUUCAUUAAACGAGUUGCAUUGAGUCGCUUAUAACUCGACGCCUUUCACUAUAAAACGGACAACACGGCCAUAACAUCCAUUGAUUUGCUCCAUCCGGCCACAACCAAGCUCUGAUAGUCGCACGGACAAGCUCCGAUAGUCACACGACCGAGCUCCACUGAUUCGCUGCAUUACUCCUCCGAUUUGCUCCGUCUUGCCAUGGCCAAGCUCCACUCCGAUAAUCACACGCACCAAUUUAAAUCAAAUAUAUUUCAACUUCAAAGCGUUAACUGUUUUUUCUCAAUAAAAUAUCUACCCGACAAAACUCUGACACAAAAUCUGAACAAGCUGACCUCCCUACCUACCUACAAAGCUGAUAAUCGAGAAGGCUAUCCUCAAACAAUAUUCCUCUGAGGUCAAUAACGUAAUAUCAGCUGUUAAUGAUAACCAGUUACCCAAUUACACAAAGUUUUUGCAUGAUCACCUAAUUACCCCUUGUUUUAUGGUUAUUAAGCUAAAUGACUCAUCUAUUUAUUUGUUCUUUUAUAGUUUGUUCCUUUCAUAUUUUAUUAUUCUAUUUCCUAUGUUUCGUUUUAUCUUAUAUCCAUAAUUUAUAUUAUGAAAGCAAAUUAUUUUGCCUGUGUUUCAUUUUUGCUUUAAUUCAUAACUAAUUUUAUAUAAGUCUUUGUUUAUUCUUAUGGAUUCACUUUCAUGAUCUAUACUUCAAUUACACACAAUAAAUAACACAAGUUAAAAAGAAAUGUAGCUUACUUAUAUAGACAUAUACACAAUUUCUUUCUGUCGUUUAUUAUAUAACAUAUAAUAUUAUGAGUAUGAUUUUUACAUUUCUAAUUAAUACCUAUUCAUUAUAAUUUAUUUUAGUUAAUUUAUCCUGCGCAGGGCGCCUGGAUUAUCACCUAGUCGAAGUUAAAAACAAAGAUGCACGCCCAAAUGGAGAAAUGUAUAUGUUGACAUGUUGCAAUAUCAACGUUAACCAAUCUGCUAAUUAGGCUUAUUUUGUUUUUUUAUAAGUAAUUAAGCUUAUUUAUUUAACUAUCGUUUCCAACAAUAGCUAUACUAUUAUAUUAUCACUCCGAACCCGAAAGCGAAUUCAUUGAAAAAAAACUCAACAUAAACCAUAGUAGAAUACUGAGUUCGGGCAUCACAUGCAAGCUUGUCAGUCAUUAUGUAUGAGUUUGCGUAAUUAUAGUUAUUGUAGAUACUGUUUGAAAGCAGAAAAAGAGAUCAAGACACUAGUUAUGCUUAACAAAACAGAAUCCAACAAAGGUCUCACCGAGCUUCAGAGAAUGGGGACAUGUCUCGUGAUCGCGGUAAUGGCGAUGAUAUCAGCAGGAACAGUGGAGAUAUACAGACUGAAACACAAGGAGUCGGUUUCAAACUCGAGCUCAUUGAGCAUUUUCUGGCAAGUACUUCAGUACAUGAUGAUUAGGUGCAUCAGAAGUGUUCAUGUACGUUGGUCAGCUUGAGUUCUUCAACAGCCACGCUCCAACAGGGUUAAAGAGCUUUGCAAGCGCGCUGUGUAUGGCUUCAAUAUCGCUAGGGAACUACGUUAGUAGUCUGCUGGUGUCCAUCGUCAUGAAGAUCUCUACAAGAGAAGAUUUUCUUGGUUGGAUCCCUGGGAAUCUCAACAAAGGGCACUUGGACAGAUUCUAACCGCAACUGAUUUUGUGGUUUACCUGGUUUGCGCGAAAUGGUAUAAGUAUAUAUAUCAAGUCUGAAUCAAGUUUCUCUGAGUCCAUGGCUGAAGAGGAAGUCUGAGUCCAGAAGCCAAAAUUUUUGCUGUGAAGCUCUGGACAGUAAAUGUCCAAACCUGAGCUAGUUCUGUCGAAUAAACUGGUGUUGUGCUAUUCUUUUGGGCUACUUGUGUGCAAAGUUUUGUUAAUGAUUCUAAAUAAAGACAGUUGAUGAUUCCACUCA